CUGUGUGAAUUGCAGAAUCCCGUGAACCAUCGAGUCUUUGAACGCAAGUUGCGCCCGAGGCCAUCCGGUCGAGGGCACGCCUGCCUGGGCGUCA
rnacentral:rRNA from 1 species